rfam:Candidatus Nomurabacteria bacterium RIFCSPLOWO2_02_FTLL_40_10 rifcsplowo2_02_scaffold_5984, whole genome shotgun sequence.
GCGGUCAUCGAUUAAUGGUAGGUCAGGACAUUGCCAAUGUUCAGGUUGGAGUUCGAUUCUCCAUGGCCGCA